rnacentral:misc_RNA from 1 species
AAGUCGUAACAAGGUUUCCGUAGGUGAACCUGCGGAAGGAUCAUUAUUGAAUAAACUUGAUGUGGUUGUCGCUGACUCUCUAGGGAGUAUGUGCACGCCCGUCAUCUUUAUAUUUCCACCUGUGCACCUUUUGUAGACCCAGAAGGCUUUAAAGUCAUUUGGGCCUAUGUUUUAUCAUAUACACCAUAGUAUGUCUUUGAAUGUAUCAAUGGGCCUUUGUUGCCUAUAUAAAACUAUACAACUUUCAGCAACGGAUCUCUUGGCUCUC